UGACUUACACAUCACAUUUUCUUUAAGUUUUUAAAAUCAGAUAUUGAUAAAGAUCAACACACAUGCAGCUUCCGUCUCUCUUUUCAUGCUUCCAUGUGAGGAACAGCUGUGGCUUAGGGCAUUAUGUUUUCAAUCCAUCCAUCAAUAAGUACGUACCUCUGUUACAUUUGUCUGAAUGGUCUUGUGAGCUUUCUCAAGAAUGCCUUGAAGGAAUUUCCUUAAUUUGAUUUAAAUGUUCACUCGAACUCAACAAUGAAGAUAAAAAUCAAAGUCACUGUGGCUGAUCCCCCUCUCCUCCAGUCAGACAGCCAUCCCAGCCAAGUUUGCUGUGAAUGCGAGCCAUUAUCUAAGCAGCUCGUGAAAAGUUAAUUACCAUGCAUGUUAUAUUUCGGUUUGUACCUGGAUCAUCUUCCAUUGACUACAGUAUUCUCGAACCAUCUGAGCCCUGAUCCAUUCCGGUCUUCUUUCCAUCACGACACUCUGGAUCCUGGCCGCCACGUGUCGAAUCCAGUCGUCUCCUGAGUUCUUCCCCAUGCCACACCACCUGCACCGGCUUCUCACCACUACAUCACCAUUCGUCUUGCUUGUCAGCUAAGUUUCUUCAAUCCUGAGCCAGGGCAUCACUAGCAAGGCGAAGCUCUCAAUUUACCAGUCCAUCUAUGUUCCAACCCUCACCUAUGGUCAUGAGCUUUGGAUAGUGACCAAAAGAACAGGAUCGCGGAUACAAGGGGCUGAAAUGAACUUCCUCCGCAGGGUUGCUGGGCUCAGCCUUAGAGAUAGGGUGAGAAGUUUGGACAUCCGGAAUUGAGCUCUGAGUAGAGCCAUUGCUCCUUCGAAUCAAAAGAAGCCAUUUGAGGUAGUUUGGACAUCUGAUUCCGGGGAGGCUUUCUUUGGAGGUUUUCCACCUGGGAGGAAGCCCUAGGGCAGACCCAGAUCUCACUGGAGGGAUUAUACAUCUUAUCUAGCCUGGGAAUGCCUGGAGAUCCCUCAGGAAGAGCUGGAAAGCAUUGCUGGGGGGAUGGACGUCUGUAAUGACCUGCUUCGUCUGCUGCCUCUAUCAACCCAUAAUGACAACAGUCAUUUACUCCAUAACGACUCCUUUAUGUCCAUGACAGGUGCCAUGUCAGUCUUUAACAAACCCUUCUAAUAAAGUUAAUACCCAGUUAAUGUACAAGGGAACCUUGAGUUUUUAGUAAUUUUGCACAGACUUGCAGCACAAUUUCUGUUAUACACACGUUUUACAUCCACAGUUCGGACAUUAGAAACAAAAUAGCACUCAAAGAGCGCAGUAGUCCACCAAGGUUGUUCAUUCCCUGACCUUGUGCUGAGCACAGGCGUGUGUUAUGCAUAUGUACAUUCCGUACGGAUACCGAAUUGUGUGACCUAAAUAUGUAGCAGGCGGUGGGAAUUGAUGUAACUUGGAAACACCUCCACAAUUUAAUUAAUUGUUCCUUGUAUCAUUCCCAAACCUCCGCAGCGGUGAAUUUUCAGUAGGAUCGCAAUCAUGUGAUUGUCAGCAGGUAGCUGAUGUAGCAUUCAGUUAUUGUCAUAGUUACAGAGACACCGUGCCGCUAUCUUGCAAUGAUACAGAAAUCUUUAACAAAUCCGUGGAUUCAGACUAUAAGCGGCAUCACUGCCAAAAUCUCAUCACUUGGUCCUUGUGUCAUUUCUGACCUUCCCUGAAAAAUUCAUCCAAAUCUGUUAGUCUGUUUUUGAGUAAUGUUGCGCACAAACAGAUUCACAUAUUAACAGACAAUCAUUUGCUGAUCAUCACAUAACCUAACUGUGUUCCUUGGCCGAGUAAAGAUUUCAUAACCGCCUGAACAGCUACCUGUCUUUCUUAAAUAAGAAAAAUAUGUGACUGUUAUUUGAUACAGUUUUUGUCAAAUCCAGCAAAUAUCUUCGCAUGUUUCACUAGCUGUCCAUUCAGUGUGUACUCUGUAAAUGGGAAAAAACCAAACUGGCUCAAAUCAAUCUACACAAUACUAUCUUACUGUGUUUAUGUUCAUGCAUAUUCGUACUUGUAUGCAGGAUGGAAGGAUAUGGAGGGUAGGGGGAGAUGUGGGUAGAGAGACAGUUUUAGCAAGAGAGAAAUGUAAAUCUGGAACAUUAUAACCAUCUAAAUAUGCAAACUCGUUAAAUAUCAACAGUCUUUCUUCAGAACUGCCGACUCCACCUUUACACCUGAAGAGCUGUAAUUGGAGCUCUAUGGAGCGCAAAACAUCACUUAAAUAUUUAAGUGUGGAAUUCUAUAUAAACAGUUUAAUUACUAACUUAAAAUACAAGUUGAGCAACUUACCAAAUUCCAGACAUCCUAGCUGCAAUGUAUAUAUUAAUGUAUAUGAUAUAAUGAACCACUUUAAGUAAAAUUCAAUAUAAGUCGAAUUAAGCCACUGCAGUUUUGGAGAAUAACAUCAAAAUGUUGUGGAGACUCAAUGAGACUUGAAAUUGUCCAACUGUUUAAAAAACAUAAAAGCAUGAUCAAUCUCGGAGGUUUAGAUUGCCAUUUGCUUAUAUUAGGAACUCAGGAAAGAUGAAAAAUUCUUUGCUGUUGAAACACAAAUAGCCUAUUAUGGCAUACCAUAAGAGGCUAUGAAUGGCUGUCCUUAACUUAUGCUGAUGUAAUACUUGUUUAACCUGUGUAAACAACAUUUUAAAAAUUAGGCUUUGUGUAGUUAUUAAACUUUUAGAUCUGAAUCCCAGCUCUCUUACACUUGAUUCACAGUACAAUGCAAUAUACAAACUGUCAGCAUGUCAAUUUCUUUUGUGCGAUUCAGUUGCUGGCUUUAAUUUAAUCACUCUCUUGCUCGUAUCGAAAUAGAACAUCCUCCUCUCCUAAAUCCCUUUACAUUUAAUAUGGACAUGAAAUGUGCUGUGGGGGAGAUAUCAGAUUUUGGAAGUAGCAUGUGUAAUUUAUUUGAUGACUGCCCACAUUUUCAGCAAGAAUAAGGUUGUACAGCAUGAUCAAAAAUAGAAAGGCAUUUGCAAGUGUGGCCUCAUGUGUCAGAAAGCAUAAACAGAUGACAGGAUUCUGGAGUGCAUAUAAGGUGGUCUAUGUGCAUUUGUGUGUGACUGAUUUCAUCAGUAAUGUGUGGCUUUUGCCACAUGCCCCAUUUUACUAUAUUACAGUUGCAGUGAUGUUACAAACCAGUUAGUCUAAAAUGUAUUGCUCAUACAGUAAGUGUUUGAAGAAGCCUCUGAGUGAUGUGCUGAUAUUUUGGCUUUGCUUAACUGUGAAAUUGUUUUGUAGAUCUUUCUGUGCCAUUGAUGCAUGCUGAAAUUUUUUCAAAUGCAUUGCUUCAAAUAGGAUGUAAUGCUGCACGCUAAACUUGCUGUAAUGGUGCAAAAAAAAACCUCACUUCUAAAAUGUUAACGAUUGUCUUUUGCUUGUGAAUUAGCCAUCAAGUUCAUAAUCUUUUGUAAGUUCUAUUGGAAAUUGCAAAACUGCAUUGGGGAGCUUUAAUUAUUAUUGUUUUUCAUUUAUUUUUUAAACAAAGAUUAUUAGCACGUUGACAUUAAGAUUUCAGAUUUACAUAACUGCAUAGGCUAAGCUGAUUCUUUUUUAAAAUCACACUUCUUGCACAGCAAGAUUAUCAAGUUAAUUUCCUCAAGAACUGACUGUGGAACAAGUUACAUACUUUAGGGCUGUAGCAGGAUCACAUUAAUGACAGUUCAGGCUUCUCACUUGUACUGCCUUGAAUCACAGCAAUGGCAAUGUUCAAAAACACUUUGUGCAUGUCUUUUUCUUUUUACUUAUUUUUUGCUUUGUCUGUUUCAGCAGUAAUUGAUAUCAGCUAAAAGAGAAAAUACAGCUAUAGCAAACACUUUCCAGACAAAGCAUGUGGUGUUAUUAUGGCAUUUGUUGGACAUGUGCAUUAAAACUUGGUAAUAAAAUUGUGUCUGUCACAUCUGUCCA